rnacentral:misc_RNA from 1 species
UCCGGUUUGACACCGGCAGUCCCCUUAGAGUCCUCGGCAUUACCCGCUAGUAACUAAGGGCAAAGGUUUCGCUCGUUAAGGGACUUAACCCGACAUCUCACGACACGAGCUGACGACAGCCAUGCAGCACCUGUACCAGUUCCACCCCGAAGGGCGUACCCCACUUUCAUGGGGAUAAUCCUGGCGAGUCAAACCCAGGUAAGGUUCUGCGCGUUGCUUCGAAUUGAACCACAUGCUCCACCGCUUGUGUGAGCCCCCGUCAAUUCCUUUGAGUUUUAGCCUUGCGACCGUACUUCCCAGGCGGUCGACUUAGCACUUUUGCUUCGACCGCAAUAACGUCAGAGCUACUGCGAUCUAGUCGACAUCGUUUACGGCCAGGACUAC